rnacentral:rRNA from 1 species
UACGUAGGGACCGAGCGUUGUCCGGAUUUAUUGGGCGUAAAGAGCUCGUAGGCGGCUUGGCAAGUCGGGUGUGAAAACUUCAGGCUCAACCUGGAGCGGCCACUCGAUACUGCCAUGGCUUGAGUCCGGUAGGGGACCACGGAAUUCCUGGUGUAGCGGUGAAAUGCGCAGAUAUCAGGAGGAACACCAGUGGCGAAGGCGGUGGUCUGGGCCGGAACUGACGCUGAGGAGCGAAAGCGUGGGUAGCAAACAGG